AAGGUUAUAGCUCAGUAGUAGAGUGCCUACUUAGCAUGCAUGAGGUCCUGGGUUCAAUCCCCAGUACCUCCA
rnacentral:tRNA from 1 species